rnacentral:rRNA from 1 species
GUCCAAGUACACGUCCUUGAACGACGGAAACUGCGAACGGCUCAUUAAAUCAGUUGCGAUCUACUCGGCGUUCCGCGCCGCCGGAUAACCGUAGUAAUUCUAGAGCUAAUACAUGCAAAAAACCUGGACUUUACAGAACAGGUGUACUUAUUAGACUUUAAAACCGAUUACAAUUUAUUGUAAAUUUAAAAUGAAUUAAAAUAAGUUUAUGAAUCGCAGAUCAUUUUGUGAUGAUAAGAAUGAAUUUCUGCCCUAUCAACUUUCGAUGGUAAUGUAGUGGAUUACCAUGGUGAUGACGGGUAACGGGGAAUUAGGGUUUGAUUCCGGAGAAAAGGCCUGAGAGACGGCCAUUACUUCUAAGGAAGGCAGCAGGCGCGUAAAUUACCCAAUCCUAAUACGGGGAGGUAGUGACAAGAAAUAUUGAUAUUGGACCCAAAGGGUACAAUGAUUGAAAUGAGAACAAUAUAAAAAAACUUAACGACUAACAAUUGGAGGGCAAGUCUGGUGCCAGCAGCCG